CACCCAUAUUUUAUCGGUAUCGCCAUAUUUUAUCAGGAUUGUGUACAUCACAUGUAUAACAACGAUAAAUAAUAGUAUAAGCCAAGGGGCUGUUCAUAUGAGCCGGGCUGGCGAGAUCUCGGCAUUGACCCAGCGUCAAUCUUAUCUUUUGCGUGCAAUAUGCAAAUCAAUCGUCAUUGAUUGCAAAAAUAUAUCUUACGACUAAAUUAGCCUGCACACCGCAGGCUACG
rnacentral:lncRNA from 1 species